UACAGAGGUCUCAAGCGUUGUUCGGAUUCAUUGGGCGUAAAGGGUGCGUAGGUGGCGCCGUAAGUCGGGUGUGAAAUUUCGGAGCUUAACUCCGAAACUGCAUUCGAUACUGCGGUGCUUGAGGACUGGAGAGGAGACUGGAAUUCAUGGUGUAGCAGUGAAAUGCGUAGAGAUCAUGAGGAAGACCAGUGGCGAAGGCGACACGCUGGGCCGUACCUGACACUGAUGCGCGACAGCAUGGGGAGCAAACAGGAUUAGAAACCCCUAG
rnacentral:rRNA from 1 species